rnacentral:rRNA from 1 species
ACAUCCAGAGAAUUUAGCAGAGAUGCUUUAGUGCCUUCGGGAACUCUGAGACAGGUGCUGCAUGGCUGUCGUCAGCUCGUGUUGUGAAAUGUUGGGUUAAGUCCCGNAACGAGCGCAACCCUUAUCCUUUGUUGCCAGCACGUAAUGGUGGGAAACUCAAAGGAGACUGCCGGUGAUAAACCGGAGGAAGGUGGGGAUGACGUCAAGUCAUCAUGGCCCUUACGAGUAGGGCUACACACGUGCUACAAUGGCGCAUACAAAGAGAAGCGACCUCGCGAGAGCAAGCGGACCUCAUAAAGUGCGUCGUAGUCCGGAUUGGAGUCUGCAACUCGACUCCAUGAAGUCGGAAUCGCUAGUAAUCGUAAAUCAGAAUGUUACGGUGAAUACGUUCCCGGGCCUUGUACACACCGCCCGUCACACCAUGGGAGUGGGUUGCAAAAGAAGUAGAUAGCUUAACCUUCGGGAGGGCGUUUACCACUUUGUGAUUCAUGACUGGGGUGAAGUCGUAACAAGGUAGGCGUAGUGCU